GUAGGGUGCGAGCGUUAUCCGGAAUCAUUGGGCGUAAAGAGCUCGUAGGCGGUUCAGCAAGUCGGCUGUGAAAGUCCGAGGCUCAACCUCGGAACUGCAGUCGGUACUGCUGUGACUCGAGUCCGGUAGAGGAGAAUGGAAUUCAGGGUGUAGCGGUGAAAUGCGCAGAUAUCCUGAGGAACACCAGUAGCGAAGGCGGUUCUCUGGGCCGGUACUGACGCUGAGGAGCGAAAGCGUGGGGGUAGCAAACAGGAUUAGAUACCCUGGUAGUCCACGCCCGUAAACGUUGGACACUAGGUGUGGCGUUCCGACCCAACGGGUGCCGUGCCGAAGCUAACGCAUUAAGUGUCCCCGCCUGGGAGUACGGCCGCAAGGCUA
rnacentral:rRNA from 1 species